CCUACGGGAGGCAGCAGUAGGGAAUCUUCCACAAUGGACGAAAGUCUGAUGGAGCAACGCCGCGUGAGUGAUGAAGGUUUUCGGAUCGUAAAACUCUGUUGUAAGGGAAGAACAAACGU
rnacentral:rRNA from 1 species